rnacentral:rRNA from 1 species
ACGUUAAUCGGGGCAGGGUGAGUCGACCCCUAAGGCGAGGCCGAAAGGCGUAGUCGAUGGGAAACAGGUUAAUAUUCCUGUACUUGGUGUUACUGCGAAGGGGGGACGGAGAAGGCUAUGUUGGCCGGGCGACGGUUGUCCCGGUUUAAGCGUGUAGGCUGGUUUUCCAGGCAAAUCCGGAAAAUCAAGGCUGAGGCGUGAUGACGAGGCACUACGGUGCUGAAGCAACAAAUGCCCUGCUUCCAGGAAAAGCCUCUAAGCAUCAGGUAACAUCAAAUCGUACCCCAAACCGACACAGGUGGUCAGGUAGAGAAUACCAAGGCGCUUGAGAGAACUCGGGUGAAGGAACUAGGCAAAAUGGUGCCGUAACUUCGGGAGAA